ACCGGCAGCACAAGAGGUGGACAUUAUUAUAGGGCCUAAAGCGUUCGUAGCCGGUUUGAUAAGUCUCUGGUGAAAUCCCGCAGCUUAACUGUGGGACUUGCUGGAGAUACUAUCAGACUUGAGGUCGGGAGAGGUUAGGGGUACUCCCAGUGUAGGGGUGAAAUCCUAUAAUCCUGGGAGGAACACCUGUGGCGAAGGCGCCUAACUGGUACGAACCUGACGCUGAGUAACGAAAGCCAGGGGCGCGUACCG
rnacentral:rRNA from 1 species